rnacentral:rRNA from 1 species
AAUGAACGCUGGCGGCGCGCCUAAUACAUGCAAGUCGAGCGAGAAGACGUAGCAAUACGUUUGUAAAGCGGCGAACGGGUGAGGAAUACAUGGGUAACCUACCCUCGAGUGGGGAAUAACUAGCCGAAAGGUUAGCUAAUACCGCGUACGCUCCUUGGACUUCGGUUCAGGGAGGAAAGCGAUACCGUGGGUAUCGCGCUCUUGGAUGGGCUCAUGUCCUAUCAGCUUGUUGGUGAGGAACGGCUCACCAAGGCUUCGACGGGUAGCUGGUCUGAGAGGACGAUCAGCCACACUGGCACUGCGACACGGGCCAGACUCCUACGGGAGGCAGCAGUAAGGAAUAUUGCGCAAUGGGCGAAAGCCUGACGCAGCGACGCCGCGUGGGGGAUGAAGGUCUU